GGAGGUGGCCUGACUUCAGACACACAGUCAGCAGCACUGGGAGGCAAAGUCCACUUGGGUGGAAGUGAGAGCAGAGAGAGAAAGAGAGAGAGGAGAGGGGCCAUUUUGAUUCCAUGGUCAAAAGAAAUAACUAGUCUGAAGCGGCCUGAGCAGCCAGGUACUGCUGUCUACCGGGACUGCCUGAGGUGCUGGAUGCCCUCGGCGACGGGAAGAGGGCAUCUAUGAGCUGCCAUGUGGGCGCUGGGAACUGAACCCCGGGUCCUCUGGAAGAGCAGGUCUAAGGAAACUCUCGG